UUAAAAUUUAGUACAUGUAGUUUUUUAAUUGUAGAACCAAACAAAAGUUCUCCUAUGAAUAAGUGAGCAUUAACAGUUCAGAACUUUGGAGUGAUAAUCCACAUCCAUAUAUUGUUGUUGGAAGAUAAUUUAUAGGGUGCUAUUACAAGGUCAGCGCUAUUUUUCAGUCGUGCUUUGUUUCAUUUCAAAAUAUUUAUCAUGUGCCUUGUGUGUUGUUGAUUAAGGUACUUCCCUUUUGAACAGUGAUUUGGAUCGUGGUUUGUUCUGAUUGAUUUAUUUGGGAGGUCAUCAUCCCCUUUAAGACACGUAUCUUCCAUUUUCAUCUCAUUUUUAAACCUCAGAGGAAGAGAAAGAGAGGAAAAAAAGGGAGAGAGAAUGGCGGUGACCGGAGGAUCACACCAUCACACCAGAUUCUGGCGCGACAACGACCCAAUUGACGGAGUGUCAACUUAGGGUUUAAGAAAGGGAUAGGCUGUGUAAAAGACCAUGACGAGAGUUAGCAUUCCGACCAAGUUAGACCAGAUUCCGUGUUCCGGUGAAGGUACAGCUAGGGUUCUAGGGAGCAGUGCCGGCAAGGAGAGCCAGGUGAAGAUCCGGUAAGUAGAUUGAAGCAUGUACAGGAGUUCUUCAAGUGAAUCGUCAACUCUCUAGGCCGACUGUACAUAUUAGAAACGGUGACGAGGAGUAGGGCACCAUUGGAAUUAGGGGCUGUUUAUGUCAAAUCGGUGAUAGGUUGUGAAAUUCUGGUUACACCCGUUUGGAACGCCGACAAAGGUGUAGUGUUCAAAGUUCUGAGAUAAAGCAUGGUGAUUUGGCUUGGUGAAGAUUUGAAGUUGUUGAGGUCGUUUUCAGUAAUGGGUGAUGGGAGUCAAGAAUAGGUCUCAACUGACUUGACUCGGUCAACACAGAAACUCAGGUUUGGGUUGAAGAUAAUUGAGAAACAAGGAUUAUGGAAAUAGAUGAGGGCUUGGAUAAUGAUCAGGCCAGCAAUCCAAAUUGCAAAUGGUCAACGGGUCGAGUCCGAUACAAUUAACACGUGUAAGUUUUUCAGUUUUAGCAUUAUGGAUGUGGGUCUGAUAAAAUUAACACGAAUGAGAAAUAUAGGAAGGGAUAAUCACAAUUAGCCCAAGAAGAGGCUGACAAACAAUCGUCCAUUGACAAGGGGAAUGAUUUCCUUAGCAAUGUGAUUGUUACAAAGCUACCGCAUUACUUUGUUGCAACUCGGAGGCCAGGUUGCGUCUUGGUGACAAAUUAACUGGUGCAAGUGGGCGAGAUAUGAACCAAACACAAGUUCUCCUAUG